rnacentral:rRNA from 1 species
UACGUAGGCAGCAAGCGUUGUUCGGAGUUACUGGGCGUAAAGAGUGCGUAGGCGGUGUCGAAAGUUUGGCGUGAAAUCUCCCGGCUUAACUGGGAGGGUGCGCCGAAAACUGCGACGCUGGAGUGUGGGAAAGGCAAGCGGAAUUCCUGGUGUAGCGGUGAAAUGCGUAGAUAUCAGGAGGAACACCGGCGGUGUAGACGGCUUGCUAGACCAUAACUGACGCUGAGGCACGAAAGCGUGGGUAGCAAACAGGAUUAGAUACCCUGGUAGUCCACGCCCUAAACGAUGCAUACUUGGUGUGGGCAGUUCAUUCUGUCCGUGCCGGAGCUAACGCGUUAAGUAUGCCGCCUGGGGAGUACGGUCGCAAGGCUGAA